UACGGAGGAUCCAAGCGUUAUCCGGAAUCAUUGGGGUUUAAGGGUCGGGUUAGGCGGUCGUUAUAAGUCAGUGGUGAAAGCCCAUCGCUCAACGAUGGAACUGCCAUUGAUACUGUAAGACUUGAAUGCUUAGGAAGUAACUAGAAUAUGUAGUGUAGCGGUGAAAUGCUUAGAUAUUACAUGGAAUACCAAUUGCGAAGGCAGGUUACUACUAAGUGAUUGACGCUGAUGGACGAAAGCGUGGGGAGCGGAACAGGAUUAGAUACCCGGGUAGU
rnacentral:rRNA from 1 species